rnacentral:rRNA from 1 species
UACGUAGGGGGCAAGCGUUGGUCCGGAAUCAUUGGGCGUAAAGCGCGCGUAGGCGGCCCGAUAAGUCUGCUGUGAAAGUCCAGGGCUCAACCCUGGAAUGCCGGUGGAUACUGUCGGGCUAGAGUUCGGAAGAGGCAAGUGGAAUUCCUGGUGUAGCGGUGGAAUGCGCAGAUAUCAGGAGGAACACCUAUAGCGAAGGCAGCUUGCUGGGACGACACUGACGCUGAGGCGCGAAAGCGUGGGGAGCGAACAGG